rnacentral:tRNA from 1 species
GGUUCCGUGGUGUAGUGGAUAUCACGUUCGCUUCACACGCAUAAGGUCCCCAGUUCGAUCCUGGGCGGAAUCA